AGUGAACGCUGGCGGUAGGCCUAACACAUGCAAGUCGAACGGCAGCACAGUAAGAGCUUGCUCUUACGGGUGGCGAGUGGCGGACGGGUGAGGAAUACAUCGGAAUCUACUUUUUCGUGGGGGAUAACGUAGGGAAACUUACGCUAAUACCGCAUACGACCUACGGGUGAAAGCAGGGGAUCUUCGGACCUUGCGCGAUUGAAUGAGCCGAUGUCGGAUUAGCUAGUUGGCGGGGUAAAGUCCCACCAAGGCGACGAUCCGUAGCUGGGCUGAGAGGAUGAUCAGCCACACUGGAACUGAGACACGGUCCAGACUCCUACGGGAGGCAGCAGUGGGGAAUAUUGGACAAUGGGCGCAAGCCUGAUCCAGCCAUACCGCGUGGGUGAAGAAGGCCUUCGGGUUGUAAAGCCCUUUUGUUGGGAAAGAAAAGCAGCAGGUUAAUACCCCGCUGUUCUGACGGUACCCAAAGAAUAAGCACCGGCUAACUUCGUG
rnacentral:rRNA from 1 species